rnacentral:rRNA from 1 species
AGGGCACCACCAGGAGUGGAGCCUGCGGCUUAAUUUGACUCAACACGGGGAAACUCACCCGGCCCGGACACCGGAAGGAUUGACAGAUUGAUAGCUCUUUCUUGAUUCGGUGGAUGGUGGUGCAUGGCCGUUCUUAGUUGGUGGAGCGAUCUGUCUGGUUAAUUCCGAUAACGAACGAGACUCUAGCCUAUUAAAUAGACGUCGGGUUCUCUGCACUCGACGGUCUUCUUAGAGGGACAAGGUGCUUUUAGCACCGCGAAACAGAGCAAUAACAGGUCUGUGAUGCCCUUAGAUGUCCGGGGCCGCACGCGCGCUACACUGAAGGAAGCAGCGUGUAACAACCUUGUUCUAACGAACUGGGUAACCCGUGGAACUUCCUUCAUGAUUGGGAUAGGGGUUUGCAAUUGGGCCCCUUGAACGAGGAAUUCCCAGUAAACACUAGUCAUCAGCUAGUGCUGAUUACGUCCCUGCCCUUUGUACACACCGCCCGUCGCUACUACCGAUUGAAUGGUUUAGUGA